AGAAAGAUUUGGAAAAUAAAAUUUUCAAUGUAUGACAAAAGGAAUACCAGCAUCCAUAAAUAGACUAAAUGAAGUCCCAUUUCUUUGAAAACCAAGUUCUCUGCAAAUUACAUCUUAAUUUUUCCAGAAAGCUUCACUGAGAUCCAUUUGUCAGCCACAGAUAUGUGCAUGUGUUAGCCCAUUGUUGCAGGUGGUUCAUUAGCUUAUAGGUGGUGACAUUAUGAUCCUAACUUCAUUUGUGGGUGGUACAAGUAGAAGCUUGACAUAACUUUGUCAUUGUUCCUUUGUAUGUUUGUCCUCUUUAUGACACUCAAUGAAACUUUGUGUCCCAGGAAUGAAUCAACUGGUCUGAUAAAAAUUAUGCUUUCAAGUUGACUCCAUUUUAGAGGCACCUAGCAGCAUAGAGGAAUUAAUUUUGGAUUCGGUUGCCCCACCUCAUGGUCAUCACCCUAUGACCAAAAGGCCCCGUGUGAGCAGCUCUUGUAGAACAUGCUGGUUGCAGGUUCCCACUAGCGUGUCUAGGCCAAGUGGAAUUACUUGAUCAGUGAUCCUGAGCUUCCCAUUGCUCAGAGAAGAGCAUCAAGAAAAGUAGAAGAAAGAAGUUAAAUCCCUGAAGCAUUUAGUAAUGUUCUUUAUAGGGGUAAAAGAUGAGGGGAGUUGAGGUUUUAUGAAGUGCCUUUGUUCAUUUAUCAGGGCUGAUUUAUCCUUUCGACACACUAGGCAUAGUGACAAGGGCCCAAAUACUUUCAGCAGCCCACAAAAAAAUUUUUGAUCAUUUUUAAACUUAGAGGAAAAAAAUGAAUAUAGUAUUUAUAUUGUAUUGUAACAUUAUAUUGUAUGUUAUAAUGAACCCAACCUGGAUUAUAGUCAUCUUUAUUGUUGUUACACAUAAUUCUAGUAUUUUUAAUGGAGAAAGGGACUCACAAAGACAAAAGUGCCCAAGGCUCAUGAAAGCCGUAAUAAAGCUCUCAUCUUAGGUAUCUGAUGUUUGUCUGAACCUUUGACAUUUUCCUUCCAUUAAGUAUAAAGACAAGCUAUAGCAUCCAUUCUCUAUUUAUGGAUGUGUUCUAUGUGAAACUAAAUCAGUAGGUGUCACAAAAGAGGUGUUCUUAAAAGAAAACAUGGAUUUGUACUCUGAAGCUCUUUAUAAUCAAAGAGAGGAGGGGAAAAAAAUCAACUCUUAACAACAGGUGCUUUGCAGUUGUUCAUUCAUUUGGACAUUUCUUUAAUGAGUUAAUUACUCAUAACUCCCUUGUGAACAAUCUGCACAUCUGGGAAAAUAAAGCUGCCCACUGAAAGUGAAUUACUAGAGCGUAGGUGAAACACAAUAGUUAAUUCAUUUGGAUACCCUUAAAAGGCUGAACAAAAAUCCCUGAAGCACUUAGAAGUUGGGCUUCAUGUCUGAAGAAUGAGGUGGCAUCGGCUGCAAACUGCAACCUGGGAAUUCAUGGCCUGAGUUCAGCAGCCAGUUCCCAGUACUUCCUUGGGUCACCCACUCUCUGAUUUACAUAGCCACCACCUCUCCCAGAGCUCUCCACUGGUCCAAUAGCUUUGGCCUCAUCUGCAAAAUACUCUUCACUUGUUACAUGUGUAAAGAUUUUCUUUUCAAUUUCAAUUUGUUUGUGAAACCCAACCACACCAAGCCUCUGUUUGGCAAAACAAAUCCCAAGCUUAAUUUAUUAGUAUCAUCCAUGUAUUCAGACUAUAAAUACACCAGAAGAGUUUAUCAAGUCCUGAGACCUUUUGGAAAUGAAGUUGCAUCUGCUCAGUUGAAGGGUUGGAUGGUAUGAUCUCUGAAAUUCUCUCCAGCUGAAUGGCACUGGGACCAGGCCCAAGGCCAGCCCACUCUGACCUGGUGUACAGCUCCUGUAGCAACCCUUCAAAUGGAUGAUAAAGUACUACACAGAGCAGUGAUCUUCAACAACAAUCCAUUGAGAGUAGAUUAUAGCUGAAGCAGGAAAGCGCAAGGACCAGAGUUCGAUCCCUAGUGCCAGACAAAAAAUAACUGAAGCAGGAAAAGAUUUCAAGGCUUGAAUCUUUUCUUGGAGUUACAAUUAUUUUGAGGGAAAAAAAGUGUCAUCUGGAUCUUCAAACAUGAGUUCUCAUCACUAGGAACCAGAAACAUCACACAUGAACCAGAGCCACAGAGCCUUACAGUGAGAAGGAACUUCAAUUAAAACUGUGGAUUUUUUUUUUUUAAAAAGCCACCAUGUCCAGAAAGAUAAAAGUGUUGGAAAUGUGGAGGUUGUCCCAAAAUACAUCACCUUCUAGUCCCUAGUCUGGCCUUUGACUAUCACCAGAUAGAUAAUAAAGCUACUGGAGUCUGGCUCCUGCCCACUUCGGGGCAAAUAUGUGAGGACCUUUCCUAUGGGCUGCAUGUGUUUCUGAGUUAAUGUAUUUCCAGUUCACUGUAGAAAGGAGCAACAUACUUCCUACUUUUUCCUGAAAAAUAUUAACAUACACUCUUCCCACACUGAGUAACAAUGUAAGAAGUCCAGCCUGUUUAACCACUGUAUAAGCUAUGUACUGUAAGUGGAGAAGAAAGGAUGACAGCAUAUCCCCAGCAGAGACGUGCCUGAACAGCAUUCCCAGGAAUUCUUCAGCCACAGGAAAAACAAGCAGCCCUCAGUCCUGCGCAGGGUGCAAAUUAGCUUCCGCUGACAACAGGCUCUGUGCACCUUUCUGAGCCGAAGUCCUCUCCAUGCCAAAGUCAACAGUGUGCUCUCUAAUAACACUGAAGCUGUCCUUCAGACCCUCUCAGUCACGGCCCUCGAGAGUCAUCAAGAAACUGUUUAAAUUUCUGGGACAAUUUUCAACCACCAUAAAGAAGUUGGUAGCCCUGGAUAAACCCAAAAGCACCUUCAUAGGGCAGGGGGAGAUUCUUUUGUGGGUCCUUAUUGUUAAGUGGGAUUGCUGGUUUGUGUUACUCCAACAAUGAUCUCUUGCUAUGUGAAAAUCUAGAAUUUAGAUCAUGUAAUAUUUAUGACAGAUAAAUGAAAUAGUAGUUUUUCUAAUUAUUAGAGAAUACCUCAUCAAUAACUUCUCAAUUUUCGGGGCUACUGAACACUUCUUAAAUGAUGAAUGCACAAAAGGAAUAAAGUUAUUGUGGUUGAGGCUGCUAGCUGCUAACUCAAGUCCAUGUUCUCAUUUUCCUCAUGGACACGUAGCUAACCACUUGCAAUUAGGACUCCCGCAAAUCAAAAUCUGUAUAUUCUGGUAUUCCUACUUGAUCUGGGGCCUUUGGGGGAGGGUCUCUCUCCCCUUCUUUGUCCUUUAAGUAAUUGUUUUUAAAAAUCUAUCUGUGGGUAUAGAAAGUUAUUUACAGCUUAAAGAGUUGUAAAGCAAACACUAAUAACCACCAUCCAGGUCUGAAAAUAGAAAUGUGUACCCCAGGCCUGACUUGUAGAGUUCUCAUUUGCUUAAUUUUCUUCAUAGUGUCACCCUCCUUGUAUGCACCUCGGAAUGAUAUGCUCUGCCUCUUCCCUUUUGUUUUUACUUUAUAUAAAUGGAAUCCCACUGUAUGUAUUCUUUUGUCUUGCUUCUUUGGUCCUAUGUAAGAUCCAUCCAUGUUGUUCUGUCUAGCUCUAGCUCAUUUGUUUUAAUUACUGAAGAACAUUUAUUGAAUGACCGCUGCUCUUUCUGCGUUCCUUCUCCCACUGAUGAACCUCUGGAACAUUUCCAGUUUGGGGCUGCUCGGCACGUUCUGGUUACGUGUCUCUGAGUGCACAGUAUGAGCAUUUCUUUGAGGAACAUACUUAAGAGUAGCAUUUCUGGGUCAUAGGGUUUGAAAAACAUCUGGGUUUAUCAGUGACGCCAGACUCUUUUUCAGUAUUUUUUUUUUUAACCAAUUUAUACUCCCACUAGCAGUAUAGGGAGCAUCCUGUUACUUCAUAUCCUCACUAGAACUUGGUAUUGUCAGACUUUAAUUUUUGCCAAUCACAUGGGUGUAUAAUGGUAUCUCUAUUGUUUUAACUCAUAUUUUCUUUAUUAUUAAUGAGGUUGGACAUCUUUUCAUGUUUAUUGGAAAUUUAAAUUCCUUCUUUGGUGAUGUGGCUGUUCUAGUCUUUCACUUAUUUUUUAAUUAACUGCUCAUUUUUGAUUAGUAGGAGUUAUUUUUAUUGGUUAGAAUCUAUAUAUUCUGGACCAGUGUUCUUUACAUAAGUUGUACAUAUUUUCCACUCUGUGACUUGUGUUUUUACUCUUUAUGGUGCCUUUUGAUGAUGAGAAAUUCUUUCUUUAUUUGAAUGUAUUUGAAUUAUCAAACUUUUCUUUUAUGACCUUUUUAAUAUUUUGUUUAAUCCACCUGGAAUGGAUUUUUGUGUAUGGUACAAGGAAGAAAUUUCUCCUUAAAACAGAAGCAUAAAAGUUAGUAUUAUUAAUAAAAGAGGUACUUUUAAAGCAAAUGUUUUGUAUUUUCCAGAUCUGAAACCUUUAUUACCAAUAUGAAGCCUGCUUUUGAUAAGAGGCACAUAGAUCUUCAUGCACCUUGUUUAGGAAUAACAAAGUAUCCAGGUGUUAAUUCCCUUGGAAAGUAAGAAGAUAAAAGUGCAUAUGCUCCAUGUUGGGAAUGUUGCCAAGGGUAGCCUAUAUAAGGACAGGAAUACACACAUGUGCACACACUACACAUGUCAUUAUAGAUUUAUGGGCCCUUUCUGGAAAGAUACAUAAGAAGAAGUUAUAGUAGCUACCUGUGAGGAAUAUAAUAUGUAAAAGUUCUGCCUCAAGGAAAAUAACAAUGUUUAAGGUAAGUUACCCUAGUACCUUAGUAGGAAAAUUGAGUCAGAUGUGCCAAAAUUUAUUUACAUAUGUUCUUUCAGGAAUUCAUCUAUCAAACAGAAGUGUUGAUUUUCAAUUAUUUUACAUACCCCUUUUCACACACACAAAAAUACUGGCUAUUUAAGGAGUAUAGGAAUUAUUGCAACCUAUAUCUCUAUAGCAGGCAAUUUGAAUCAUUGGAAGCUCUAAAAGGUUCGCCUUCACUGCUGUAUAGAAUUAUGGGUAUUCAAACUUUGUGGGAGACCAGGGGAGACCUGAGGCCUAAUUGGCCCCCUCUGUGAGUACAAAGAAGAAAGGCUGCACUCAGGGGCAAAUGCAUACUGUCAGUUCUAGGGAAAAGUGAAGACAGCUAAUACUAAGUUGUUUACCAGAGCAUGUAUAAUGGAUAUUGCAUAGCAAAUGAAUCCUGUGUUACUUUGAUUGCUUGUACCUGUGUUUGGGUGAAUAAAGGCAAGAUGAGCCAGGCACUGGGGGCUCCUCUGCCUAGUAAGAGGCAAGAGCCCCCUGGCUGCCCACUUGUUGAACUGA